rnacentral:rRNA from 1 species
AUUGAACGCUGGCGGCAUGCCUUACACAUGCAAGUUGAACGGUAACAGGUUAAGCUGACGAGUGGCGAACGGGUGAGUAAUGUAUCGGAACGUGCCCAGUCGUGGGGGAUAACUGCUCGAAAGAGCAGCUAAUACCGCAUACGACCUGAGGGUGAAAGCGGGGGAUCGCAAGACCUCGCGCGAUUGGAGCGGCCGAUAUCAGAUUAGGUAGUUGGUGAGGUAAAGGCUCACCAAGCCGACGAUCUGUAGCUGGUCUGAGAGGACGACCAGCCACACUGGGACUGAGACACGGCCCAGACUCCUACGGGAGGCAGCAGUGGGGAAUUUUGGACAAUGGGCGCAAGCCUGAUCCAGCCAUGCCGCGUGCGGGAAGAAGGCCUUCGGGUUGUAAACCGCUUUUGUCAGGGAAGAAAAGGUUCUGGCUAAUACCUGGGACUCAUGACGGUACCUGAAGAAUAAGCACCGGCUAACUACGUG